rnacentral:rRNA from 1 species
UGAACGCUAGCUACAGGCUUAACACAUGCAAGUCGAGGGGCAGCAUGGUCUUAGCUUGCUAAGGCCGAUGGCGACCGGCGCACGGGUGAGUAACACGUAUCCAACCUGCCGUCUACUCUUGGACAGCCUUCUGAAAGGAAGAUUAAUACAAGAUGGCAUCAUGAGUCCACAUGUUCACAUGAUUAAAGGUAUUCCGGUAGACGAUGGGGAUGCGUUCCAUUAGAUAGUAGGCGGGGUAACGGCCCACCUAGUCUUCGAUGGAUAGGGGUUCUGAGAGGAAGGUCCCCCACAUUGGAACUGAGACACGGUCCAAACUCCUACGGGAGGCAGCAGUGAGGAAUAUUGGUCAAUGGGCGAGAGCCUGAACCAGCCAAGUAGCGUGAAGGAUGACUGCCCUAUGGGUUGUAAACUUCUUUUAUAAAGGAAUAAAGUCGGGUAUGCAUACCCGUUUGCAUGUACUUUAUGAAUAAGGAUCGGCUAACUCCGUGCCAGCAGCCGCGGUAAUACGGAGGAUCCGAGCGUUAUCCGGAUUUAUUGGGUUUAAAGGGAGCGUAGAUGGAUGUUUAAGUCAGUUGUGAAAGUUUGCGGCUCAACCGUAAAAUUGCAGUUGAUACUGGAUAUCUUGAGUGCAGUUGAGGCAGGCGGAAUUCGUGGUGUAGCGGUGAAAUGCUUAGAUAUCACGAAGAACUCCGAUUGCGAAGGCAGCCUGCUAAGCUGCAACUGACAUUGAGGCUCGAAAGUGUGGGUAUCAAACAGGAUUAGAUACCCUGGUAGUCCACACGGUAAACGAUGAAUACUCGCUGUUUGCGAUAUACUGCAAGCGGCCAAGCGAAAGCGUUAAGUAUUCCACCUGGGGAGUACGCCGGCAACGGUGAAACUCAAAGGAAUUGACGGGGGCGCGCACAAGCGGAGGAACAUGUGGUUUAAUUCGAUGAUACGCGAGGAACCUUACCCGGGCUUAAAUUGCAGAUGAAUUACGGUGAAAGCCGUAAGCCGCAAGGCAUCUGUGAAGGUGCUGCAUGGUUGUCGUCAGCUCGUGCCGUGAGGUGUCGGCUUAAGUGCCAUAACGAGCGCAACCCUUGUUGUCAGUUACUAACAGGUUCCGCUGAGGACUCUGACAAGACUGCCAUCGUAAGAUGUGAGGAAGGUGGGGAUGACGUCAAAUCAGCACGGCCCUUACGUCCGGGGCUACACACGUGUUACAAUGGGGGGUACAGAGGGCCGCUACCACGCGAGUGGAUGCCAAUCCCCAAAACCUCUCUCAGUUCGGACUGGAGUCUGCAACCCGACUCCACGAAGCUGGAUUCGCUAGUAAUCGCGCAUCAGCCACGGCGCGGUGAAUACGUUCCCGGGCCUUGUACACACCGCCCGUCAAGCCAUGGGAGCCGGGGGUACCUGAAGUGCGUAACCGCGAGGAGCGCCCUAGGGUAAAACUGGUGACUGGGGCUAAG